rnacentral:rRNA from 1 species
UACUAAAAAAUAUGUGUUUGAACGUGCCCAAUCUCAUCUGAUCUUGGAAGCUAAGCAGGGUAGGGCCUGAUUAGUACUUUAAUGGGAGACCACUUAGGAAUAUCAGGUGCUAUAGGCA